AACAUCAAUUUAAUUGGGUAAUCUUUAGUCUAAAAUUAUGAAGAAUAACCCAUCUGUUCUCUUCUUGUUUUGUCUAUGGGGAAAUCUGCUGCUGUAAAAUAACAUGAAGGACUAAGUAACAAUCUCAUCAAGACUGUGUAGUUGUAACAAUUGAUCUCCCUUUUUUAAAGCAAGAAAUAUUAAUACAGAACACAUGUAAACCAUCACUGUCCAUCCAUGGAAUCGAAGGAGCAUUCUCUGCUCCAGGAAGUAAAACAGUAAUCCCUGCAAAAGUAAUUGGGAAAUUUUUCAUACGUCUAGCUCCCAAAAUGGAGCCCUUAGUAGUAGAAAAGCAGAAACCUUCCUAUUUGUGAAGACAAGCUGAUUUAUGGUUUGGAUAUGUAUGUGCUGCUGUCUUCUUACAAUAAGAUACAAAAGGGCUGAAACAGAUUAGAAUGGAAUAACUGACUUACAGGUAACAAUGGAGGACCUCAUCCACAAGUUACAUUAUUUAUCUACAUGCUACCAUACUGCAAGUACCAUCAAUGAGUUUUCCCAGACUUUGGAUUGGAUAAGUUUGGUGAGACAGCAGAAUAAUUUUACUACCAACACUUUGGACUUUUAUUUCAUUGGUUUGGACUAUCAUUGAUAUUCAUAAGGAUACAGCAUAGUUUUUUCUAUUUGUAUACUGUUGCUCGACUUCUAUAUACUGAGAUUCUAUAUUGUUAAUACACAUGCAUAUAUUUUGUAAAUUAGAUACGUCCCUGUCUCAGUUAUUCUAAUUAUUUUCAUUGUCUACCCUUGUUUCCCUCCUUCCUUGACAAUUAUAGUGUAAGCUUGCUGCUCAUUGGUUUGUUUAAACCUACACGGUUAACUGUGACAUACUUUGCAUCCUGCAUCUUAGUGUUGAGCGGGAGAGGUCAAGACCCCACUCAGGAACAACCACCUUUUGGUCAGCACCUACAGCUCCUCCAAGCGGCCAUGGAACCGAUGUGGAUAUGGUGGGCCAGCGCAGAGCCAGGGGUCUGGCAGGAAUAUCGGAGCGAGCACAGUGGAUGCAUUCACCUCCUUCCCCCAUGUGCUCCCUUCUGCUAAGCCACUCUCCUUUGAAGACCAGGACACCUAUGAAGAGAAAUUGGGCUUCGGAUUAAGAGAGAUACAGGAUUUAAUGUGGGCAGGCCGGUCCAAGUUGAAUACAGUGCGGUCCCAAAUACGGGAAAUGGCCGAACUGGCAUAUGACUUGUAUAUUGAAAUCGGUAAAUGCCAGUCGAAGCUCUGUGAAAUCGGUCAACUGAGGAUGGCAGCUGGCUAUGGACCGAGGAGAAGGCCAAGGAAACACCAAUGCAAAACUGUGGUAUCACUGAAGGAACUGAGAAGACUUCCAAGGCAUCAGUAAUUUAAAUACUUGACUGUAGUCCCAUUAUUAGAUUAAUAGUAGUUGGAAUAUUAGGGGCAGAUUAAAAUUAAAUGCUACUAAAAUGCAUCGAGUGAAUUAAAAAUAAAUAAAUACAAUUAUCCGUCCGAAUUCGUGGAGGGAUCGGUCCUGGGCAUCCCACGAAUUCAAAAUGUCAUGGAUAUAUACAUCCCCUUCUUUCUCUAUUCCCCCCACUCUUUUCCUUUAU